UAAUGUCCUAAGGGGGGUGUUCUCG
rnacentral:piRNA from 1 species